GGGGGAGUGGCGAAAUGGCAGACGCGCAUGCCUUAGGAGCAUGUGCCUUAGGGCGUGAGAGUUCGAAUCUCUCCUCCCCCACCA
rnacentral:tRNA from 2 species